UUAGUACGGCGAGUGAAGCGGCAAAAGCUCAAAUUUGAAAUCUGGUACCUUCGGUGCCCGAGUUGUAAUUUGGAGAGGGCAACUUUGGGGCCGUUCCUUGUCUAUGUUCCUUGGAACAGGACGUCAUAGAGGGUGAGAAUCCCGUGUGGCGAGGAGUGCGGUUCUUUGUAAAGUGCCUUCGAAGAGUCGAGUUGUUUGGGAAUGCAGCUCUAAGUGGGUGGUAAAUUCCAUCUAAAGCUAAAUAUUGGCGAGAGACCGAUAGCGAACAAGUACAGUGAUGGAAAGAUGAAAAGAACUUUGAAAAGAGAGUGAAAAAGUACGUGAAAUUGUUGAAAGGGAAGGGCAUUUGAUCAGACAUGGUGUUUUGUGCCCUCUGCUCCUUGUGGGUAGGGGAAUCUCGCAUUUCACUGGGCCAGCAUCAGUUUUGGUGGCAGGAUAAAUCCAUAGGAAUGUAGCUUGCCUCGGUAAGUAUUAUAGCCUGUGGGAAUACUGCCAGCUGGGACUGAGGACUGCGACGUAAGUCAAGGAUGCUGGCAUAAUGGUUAUAUGCCGCCCGUCUUGAAACACGGACC
rnacentral:rRNA from 1 species